ACUGAUCACUAUUGAUUUGCUGUUACCCGUUUAGGAGUUCCGUCCUCCAUCUCCGAAACUAUUCAUCAGGUCUUCACUUAAGCAUGGUACUUAG